UAGCACAGAGUAAUACGGGCUAUAUUUUAUAUAGCCUAUAUUACUCUGUGCUGUAGCUUACCAAUGGUGAAAGAUUUUUUAUAAUCAGUCCAGUAGUAUUUGUGUUAGAUUGUAAGAAACAAAUAAUAUUAUCUAAAGAUCGGUCACUGUCAUCCUAAGAACCUAAAUUAAACCAUUGAAUAUUAUUUACUUGUCUUGGCAGCUUUAAACUUUUAUGCCAAUGGAUCAUACAAAUGGCUUUGUGAUGGCUAAGGCAUCUUUUAGCAAAUGCCUACAUGAAGUCGCUGACGCUCCUGAAUACCCCAGCUGUUUAAAAAAAAUGUGUUAAGUUCCCUUUGCAUUAAACACAAAAUCAUUAUAAAUAAAUAUAUUUGAUGCCAAUCUAAUAAUAACAUAGUGGAUGCUCAAUUUGGUGGUGCAUCUUAUGACUUGUAAAUAUGGAACAGGUGCAAUAAGACCACUUGAGGAAAACCUGCCCAAUAGGGACCGCUGUUGGUUGUUAGGUGACCAAUGUUUGCAUGAUGACCCCCAUCUUGGGAGCUGCUCCUAGAUCCCAUGAAGAUAUGCACAACAUUGCUGUGUCAGAAAUACGGUGGAGCCUUGUAGUUGGGUGCAUAUUGUAAAAUGUUUCCUCACUCCAAAACCAUGAACUCUGGUUUCCUAAACCCUCAAGCUAUGCAGCCGAAGGAGGAGACUUAUCACAGGAGAAUCACUAAUAAUUUUGAAGAAGUGAAGAGCUUAACAAUGUUUCAACGAACACCUAAAGAAGCUUUCACUUGGCUGUUAGAUCAAGGGCUGGAUACAGAAAACAGUAAUCCUUGUGAUGGCAGUAUUGUCCAAGGAUUCCUCACUCAAAACCAUGAUAACAAGUUGCUAGAACCCUCAAGCUAUGCAGACAAAGGACUGGAUAUAUUUUUUCGUGACCGUAUAAUUAUUUAUACUUAAACCAUACAAAGCACUAUCUAGCCCCAAAGUAGGCAUACAGAGUAGCUUGUGUUGUGGGUACUAAGAUAGUUGAUAUUAUAAUAUUCAUUUACAUUUAUAUACUACCUAUAAAUACUUAUAUAAUGUAUAAAUACACACACACUGGAAAAAACCCAUGCUCUUCACACAAAUAUUUUCCAGGUGUGGGAAUCGAACCCAUGACCGUGGAUGCAGGAGCACUACUUACUGCGCCACGCGUAUGUGUUUUUAUUUUGAAGCAAAUUAUUAAAGUUGAUAAUUCAAAUUGUA